GUAAAUAAUUAAGGGCGUAUGGUGGAUGCCUAGGCUCUCAGAGGCGAUGAAGGACGUGAUAAGCUGCGAAAAGCUCCGUUUAGGUGCAAAUAACCUUUGAUGCGGAGAUCUCCGAAUGGGAUAACCCAAUAUGUUGAAGACAUAUUAUACCGUAAGGUAGGCAAACGCAGGGAACUGAAACAUCUAAGUACCUGCAGGAGAAGAAAACAAACGUGAUUCCCCCAGUAGCGGCGAGCGACCGGGGAUAAGCCCAAACCGUUAUUGUUUCGGCAGUAGCGGGGUAGUAGGACUGCGACAUUGAUGAAAUAAAUGAAAUGGAACACCUUGGAAAAUGUGAUCACAGAGGGUGAUAAUCCCGUACAUGCAAGUUUAUGAAUCAUAGCAGACUCCUGAGUAAGUCGGGACACGUGUAAUCCUGACCGAAUCCGCCGGGACCAUCCGGCAAGGCUAAAUACUCCUGAGAGACCGAUAGUGAACCAGUACCGUGAGGGAAAGGUGAAAAGCACUUCGAACAGAAGAGUGAAAUAGUCCCUGAACCCAUACGCCUACAAGCUGUCGGAGCCGCUUCGUGCGGUGACGGCGUGCCUUUUGCAUAAUGAGCCUACGAGUUACUCAUCACCAGCGAGGUUAAGUACUUCAGGUACGUAAGCCGAAGCGAAAGCGAGUCUGAAUAGGGCGUCAAGUUGGUGGUGGUAGACGCGAAACCUUAGUGAUCUACCCAUGGGCAGGGUGAAGGUUUGGUAACACAAACUGGAGGCCCGAACCGGUAAACGUUGAAAAGUUUUCGGAUGACCUGUGGGUAGGGGUGAAAGGCCAAUCAAACUGGGAAAUAGCUCGUACUCUCCGAAAUGCAUUUAGGUGCAGCCUCUGUUGUUUUGUUCUAGAGGUAGAGCUACUGAUUGGAUGCGAGGGCUUCACCGCCUAUCAAAUCCGGCCAAACUCCGAAUGCUAGAACAUGAAGACAGGGAGUGAGCCAGCGGGUGCUAAGGUCCGUUGACGAAAGAGGGAGAACUCAGACCAUCAGCUAAGGUCCCCAAUUAUAUGCUAAGUUGGAAUUAAAACGGGGUGGGACUGCUUAGACAGCUAGGAUGUUGGCUUGGAAGCAGCCAUUCAUUUAAAGAGUGCGUAACAGCUCACUAGUCGAGCGGUCCUGCAUGGAUAAUACGCGGGCAUAAGCAUAUAACCGAAGCUAUGGGAUUGUAGAUGAUACAAUCGGUAGGAGAGCAUUCCAUUCAGCGUAGAAGCAGUACCGUGAGGUAUUGUGGAGCGGAUGGAAAAGCAAAUGUAGGCAUAAGUAACGAUAAUGCGGGUGAGAACCCCGCACGCCGAAAGAUCAAGGAUUCCCCGGCAAUGUCAAUCAUCCGGGGGUAAGUCGGAUCCUAAGGGUAAGCCGAGUGGCGAUCCCGAUGGCAAACAGGUUAAUAUUCCUGUACUGAUCAUAACUGCGAUGCAGCGACGCAGAGGUGACACUGCUGCGUACUGACGGAAUAGUACGUUGAAACCCGUAUUCUUUGAUACCGGUAGUGAAGCACGCCGGUAGAGAUGAAAGGUGAUAGUACCGCAAUGCUUCGGUUGCGCGGAUAACGCAGGUAAGCUGACUGCCAAGAAAACCUGCUAAGCUUCAGGUAAUGAUCAUCCGUACUGUAAACGGACACACGUGAUCAGGUAGAAAAUACUAAGGCGCUCGAGAGAUUCAUGGUUAAGGAACUAGGCAAAAUGGUCCUGUAACUUCGGGAUAAAGGACGCUCUUGUGAAAGAGCCGCAGAUAAUAGGCCCAGGCGACUGUUUACCAAAAACACAUGGCUAUGCUAAUUCGCAAGAAGAUGUAUAUGGCCUGACACCUGCCCGGUGCCGGAAGGUUAAGAGGAGAGCUCAGAGGUAACUCGAAGGUUUGAAUUGAAGCCCCGGUAAACGGCGGCCGUAACUAUAACGGUCCUAAGGUAGCGAAAUUCCUUGUCGGGUAAGUUCCGACCUG
rnacentral:rRNA from 1 species